GCUGGCGGCAGGACCUAACACAUGCAAGUCGAGCGCCGUAUCCAUACGGAGCGGCAGACGGGAGAGUAACACGUGGGAACGUGCCCUUCAGUUCGGAACAACCCAGGGNAAACUUGGGCUAAUACCGGAUACGUCCGUAAGGAGAAAGAUUUAUCGCUGAAGGAUCGGCCCGCGUCUGAUUAGCUAGUUGGUGGGGUAAUGGCCCACCAAGGCGACGAUCAAUAGCUGGUCUGAGAGGAUGAUCAGCCUCACUGGGACUGAGACACGGCCCAGACUCCUACGGGAGGCAGCAGUGGGGAAUAUUGGACAAUGGGCGCAAGCCUGAUCCAGCCAUGCCGCGUGGGUGAUGAAGGCCCUAGGGUUGUAAAGCCCUUUCGGCGGGGAAGAUAAUGACGGUACCCGCAGAAGAAGCCCCGGCUAACUUCGUGCCAGCAGCCGCGGUAAUACGAAGGGGGCUAGCGUUGCUCGGAAUCACUGGGCGUAAAGCGCACGUAGGCGGCUUUUUAAGUCAGGGGUGAAAUCCUGGAGCUCAACUCCAGAACUGCCCUUGAUACUGAGAAGCUUGAGUCCGGGAGAGGUGAGUGGAACUGCGAGUGUAGAGGUGAAAUUCGUAGAUAUUCGCAAGAACACCAGUGGCGAAGGCGGCUCACUGGCCCGGUACUGACGCUG
rnacentral:rRNA from 1 species